rnacentral:rRNA from 1 species
AGGACGAACGCUGGCGGCGUGCUUAACACAUGCAAGUCGAGCGGAAAGGCCCUUCGGGGUACUCGAGCGGCGAACGGGUGAGUAACACGUGAGUAAUCUGCCCCUAGCUCUGGGAUAGCUCCGGGAAACCGGGAUUAAUACCAGAUACGACCACUUUAGACAUCUUCUGUGGUGGAAAGAACUUCGGCUAGGGAUGAACUCGCGGCCUAUCAGCUUGUUGGUGAGGUAACGGCUCACCAAGGCGACGACGGGUAGCCGGCCUGAGAGGGCGACCGGCCACACUGGGACUGAGACACGGCCCAGACUCCUACGGGAGGCAGCAGUGGGGAAUAUUGCGCAAUGGGCGAAAGCCUGACGCAGCGACGCCGCGUGGGGGAUGAAGGCCUUCGGGUUGUAAACCCUUUCAGCAGGACGAAGCGAAAGUGACGGUACCUGCAGAAGAGCGCCGGCUAACUACGUGCCAGCAGCCGC